CAGCCGCCACGGGAAUACGGAGGGAGCUAGCGUUAUUCGGAAUUACUGGGCGUAAAGCGCACGUAGGCGGCUUUGUAAGUUAGAGGUGAAAGCCUGGAGCUCAACUCCAGAAUUGCCUUUAAGACUGCAUCGCUUGAAUCCAGGAGAGGUGAGUGGAAUUCCGAGUGUAGAGGUGAAAUUCGUAGAUAUUCGGAAGAACACCAGUGGCGAAGGCGGCUCACUGGACUGGUAUUGACGCUGAGGUGCGAAAGCGUGGGGAGCAAACAGGAUUAGAUACCCGGGUAGUCCCUGUCUCUUAUAC
rnacentral:rRNA from 1 species